rnacentral:tRNA from 1 species
UCCGGUGUGGCGCAAUCGGUAGCGCGACGGACUGUUAAUCCGCAGGUUGCAGGUUCGAGUCCUGCCACCGGAGCCA